UACGUAGGGUGCGAGCGUUGUCCGGAAUUAUUGGGCGUAAAGGGCUCGUAGGCGGUCUGUCACGUCGGGAGUGAAAACACGGGGCUUAACCCCGUGCCUGCUUCCGAUACGGGCAGACUAGAGGUAUGCAGGGGAGAACGGAAUUCCUGGUGUAGCGGUGAAAUGCGCAGAUAUCGGGAGGAACACCGGUGGCGAAGGCGGUUCUCUGGGCCGAUACUGACGCUGAGGAGCGAAAGCGUGGGGAGCGAAUGGG
rnacentral:rRNA from 1 species